rnacentral:lncRNA from 1 species
CUUUUCUGCUCAACCGACUAUAGGAAACCUGCUUCAGGAGGAGAACUGUGCUCCAGAGGCAAAGAAUAGCUGUGUGCGACAUUGGCAGCCAGAGGAAGGCAAGCACGGUGCCCCCCCUCCCAUCACGCCACGGGCUUUUGUUCUCUCUUGCAGGAGGCCGGAGCCCCAACAGGAUACAAGUGCGAAAUGAGUAACAACAAUGAAAAAAAUAAUAAUCAUCAUUAUUAUUAUCCCUUAAACACCGCGGUUAGCGGCUAACGGUGCUGUUACACGAGCCCUGCUCACCGCCGGGCCGGGCCGGGCCGGGCCAAGCUGCACCGCCUCCGCCGGUGUUGAGGCGCCACCUACCGGGACGCGGUGGCAGCGGCCCGUCGGCCUGCAGGCUGCAAGCCUAGGCGGGAGGGCCGAGCGGGGGGACGCUCGUAAAUACAUGUGUAAGCACGUAUAUCUUCACGUAUAUGGUUAAGUUGUAAAAAGAAGGGUUAAAUUUAAUGCACG